rnacentral:rRNA from 1 species
GACGAACGUUGGCGGCGUGCUUAAUACAUGCAAGUCAACUGAAGCACCGGUAGUAAUACUGGUGUGGAGGUGGCGCACGGGUGAGUAACACGUAGGUAAUCUGCCUUCAGGUCUGACAUAACCCCGAGAAAUCGGGGCUAAUAGCAGAUGAUGCAGCGGCUUGACAUCAAGACAGUUGUUAAAGCUUCGGCGCCUGAAGAUGAGCCUGCGUCUGAUUAGCUAGUUGGCGGAGUAAUAGCCCACCAAGGCGACGAUCAGUAGCUGGUCUGAGAGGAUGAUCAGCCACACUGGAACUGAGACACGGUCCAGACUCCUACGGGAGGCAGCAGUAAGGAAUAUUGCUCAAUGGGAGAAAUCCUGAAGCAGCAACGCCGCGUGAGGGAUGAAGGGCUUUUGCUCGUAAACCUCUGUAGUGAGGGAAAAAAUUUCCAUUCUAUGGA